GGUGGCCGAUCCCGAAGAGGUCGAGGGCCCCGGCUGUGACCCGGGGGGAAGGCGGUUCGAGUCCGCUCGGUCACCCCCA
rnacentral:tRNA from 1 species